UCUCAACCUCCAAGUAUGUUGUUUCCGGGGCUGCGAUUUAAGCCGCAGAGAGCUUAAAGCUUUCCCCGGUCAGUGGCCUCCAUCUUCAUUCAGUGGGUGAGGGUAGUGCACAGGGACAGUCAGCGCAGCGAUGUCACAGUGAGUAGGCGGGGCCUUCUUUAGCCCCCCCCCCUCCAUCUGGGCCUCUGCUGCUUGUUUCCCGGUGGGAGGGAGGAAGGCUUAUUGCGGGAAAAAGGCACCGUGAAGGGGAUUUGAAACUGGAUGGGAUAAAACGCAAUCAUCCCGCAGAUUACAACUCCUGUAACCGCCUGUAAACUUACAGGGCUCUCAGCAGCUGGAUGUCUGACUGAAUUCUCCCUGCACGUGGAGCGGUGCAGGAAUAGUCCGUCCCCAGUGUGAUUGCACCAUUGGGUGGCCAGCUCAGGGAUUUAUAUGGUUUGAAGGUAGCAAGAAUUUAUUUUCCUGGUUCCUGACAUCUUUCCAGCUGCAGACUACAGCAGGAGAUUUGAAACUCUUUUUGUGUUGAUAACUGGAUAGAAAAUCAGAGGCCAGGCAGCCAGUACAGAAGCUUCCAAAAGCACUGUCCCUUCUUAACCUUCUUGAACUCUGCAGUCCGUAUGGUGAAGCUAUUCCAGAUUGUUGUUCGAGAAUCACGGAGGCACAUUCACGAGCAAGAAUUCCAAACAAACAUCCCAUCAAGAUCUGAAUGUGAAAACCAUUGGAUAUUCUG